rnacentral:misc_RNA from 1 species
UACGGAGGGGGCUAGCGUUGUCCGGAAUUAUUGGGCGUAAAGAGCUCGUAGGCGGUUUGUCGCGUCUGCUGUGAAAACGCGAGGCUUAACCUCGCGCCUGCAGUGGGUACGGGCAGACUAGAGUGCGGUAGGGGAGACUGGAAUUCCUGGUGUAGCGGUGGAAUGCGCAGAUAUCAGGAGGAACACCGAUGGCGAAGGCAGGUCUCUGGGCCGUUACUGACGCUGAGGAGCGAAAGCAUGGGGAGCAAACAGG